GUCUGAGGCCAUAUCACCCUGAACAUGCCCAGUCUUGUCUGAUCUCAAAAACUAAGCAGGGUUGGGCUUGUUAGCACUUGGAUAGAAGACAGAUCUUCAGAAGAGACUCCUCAGAGA
ensembl:rRNA 5S_rRNA 5S ribosomal RNA